CCCCAGCACUCACGUCCGCUUCUCCUUCUAGUCAGCCCGCUAAACCCCGGUCCGAGGGGCGCUCCCGCCCACCCUCACCCCUUCCUGGGGGUCCCUACGCCCAGCUGGCUCAACGCUACCCGAAAACCAACUUUACAGACUGUACUAGUGCUCCACCAGUCGGUAAAGAACCUUCAUCAAACCCUGUCUGACAAACACAGCCAUCCGCAACUGCUCACAGGUUGUUGUGCUAAAUCUCCACCGUCGGCGGCUCCUUCUUCUGAUUGGCUCUGAGGAAGGACGGCCAGAGCGUCACUUCCGGCGGAAGGAAGCGCGGGAGAUUCGAUUGGAGGGCGCUCGUUUGCCGCUGAGUCUUGCGGGUUCGCGUCCCUGUGCUUCGCCCGGGCAAGUGUCCCCGUCCUCUGCCUCAGCUCAUAGGCAGGUGUACCACCAUGUUACACCCUACCCCAAACUGGAUUUUAGAGGAAAUGUAGAGGGAAGAUGCCUUUGCUGACAUACAUUCCAUCAUUUGUUGCAUUGGCAAGAAGGAACUUGAGACCACAGUGAGGACACAUGAAUAGAAGAAGAAAAUUUAUUCUUGCCUCAGUUCUUGCUCUCCAGAAUUCUAGUUUUAUAUACCCUUCAUGUCAAAAGUGCUUCUCUCGGAUAAUCCUGGUCUCCAAAAGGUCUAAUUGUCCAAAAUGUGGCUCUACUGGUGAAGCUGAAAAUGCCAGUUACAGAUAUAAACUUGCCUUAAAAGUUGCAGAAUCAAACAAAUUAUUUGGUAUUACUGUAUUUGGAAGCUGCUUAGAUGCAUUUUUUGGUCUUACAGCCACUGGUUUGCACAGGUACAUUCAAGAUCCUAAUGAAAUUCCAGAAACACUGGACAGUGAUGCAACUCAGAACCUAUUAACUAAAGCAGUUGAAACUUGCUUUGUUGGACAGAGCUUUAUUUUUGGAGUGACGAAUUUUGAAAGCCAGCAUGGACAAGGUUCAGGUUCCAGCAACCUCUUAGAGCAGUACUCAGACCACAAGAGAAAAGUUAAAGCGCUAGUAGCUUGCCAGAUUCUUCUACCAGACCCAGGUGUCGUAGGCUUCACUGUCAUUGACUAUUUCCAUCGGCUUUUGCAGCUUUCUGAUAUCAGGGAACUUCGCUGUGGCUCCCAGGCACCAAAUAGCCACUUACUUGCUUUCGAAAAUUCAAAUAGCGACGUCAGCAGCAUAUGUGGCCCUGACAGCAGUUCUUGUUGUUUUGAGUCCCAUGGCAGAGAUGAUUUUUCAGGAUUCUGGCAGCUAUCACUUGAACUCACUUCCAUUGUUUCACAACUAACAGAUGAUGAUGAUUUUUCAGCUUCAGAACAAAGCAAGGCCAUUGAUACUCCUCACCAGAACAGAAUGUGCAUUUCCUCUGCAGAGGCCACUGGUUCCAAUAGCUGUCAUGAUACCAUUCAGGGUUUAUGGAGCCCUGUUUCUUAUAUGGAUAAAAAGAGUGCAGCACAAAAGCCGGGUGAAGAACUUGGCUUACAAGCUAAUCAGCCAAGUGCUGUUCAUAGCAAUCAUCAUGAAAUUGGAGUUCCUGGUUCUAAUUUAUUCCCUUUGAAAGUGCAAGAGCCCCUUGAGCCAAGUAAUACAAAAUCCUUCCACAGUGCAGUGGAAGUUAAAAAUAUAUAUUCCCAGCAUGAGCUAACAUGUCACCAGUAUCAUGAUGUAGAUACCCCCGCUAGCUUUCAGGAGAGAUCUAUGUGUUGUACACCUUCAUCACUCAGACUUGAAGAGAUAGCUGGGGGUUCUCAGGACUGUGACCCUGAGAUCUGGGCUGACCUUCCACUCUCUGAAAGCCUAAACAAAUUUCUGGCAGCUAUCGAAAGUGAGAUUGCUAUAACCCAGACAGAUGGCAGUAGCAGGAAAUGUCAUCUAGAUAAUGACAUCAGUAAAUUACAUGCAGACCACAGCAGGUUUUCUGUGACUCCACAGAGAACUACUAGAUCCUUGCAUACACCACCUAUAGGCUUAAGAUCACCACAAGCAACAGUCAAAGCAAACUCCAGCAAAAAUAACUUCCUUUCCAACUGUGAAGCAAAUCCAAGUCCUAGUGUUCAUAAGGAGUCACAACCAGAGAACACAGCAGAGACUAUCUCUAUAAGUAGUAGUGAAAGAGGCAUUUCUGAAAAUCUUCUACCAAAUGUUUAUCUGUCAGCUCUGUUUCCAUCUUCAGAAGGCUCAGGCACAACAGUUACUCUUAAGUCUACCAGAAUUCCACCACAUGAGGCUGAAAUUUCACUUAAGCACGAUACUUCAGAGACUGACCAUUCUUGUCUCAAUAGCAAAUAUUUUAAUGGAUGUGGAGAAAAAUCACUAUCCGAAAUGAGUGAAAAGUUGACAACUUUGAGUUCUAGGAGGUAUAAUGAUGUUUCCAACCUUCACAACUUAGAAAAUAAACAAUACUGUAGGCGGCCAAAGAACCAGGGUGACAGUUUGACAAUUUGCAGGAAACUCACAUAUCCUUUAGAAGCUCUUUGCAGUAUGCCAAAUAAAAGUACGAACACAUUGAAAGAAAUGUCUUAUGAACACACUGGUAAUAACCUAACACCAAACUGUUCUACUGGUCAUGAAGGUUGCUACAAUGCUUCUGCUGAUCUCUUUGAUGAUAGUCCUAAAGAAAUGGACAUGGCAACAGAAAUGACCAAAAAGUCACAGGAUAUUUUGUUACAGUGGGGAAAGUCUUUGGCAGAAAGUCAUCAUACAGAAUCUGAUUUUUCAUUGAGAUCACUCUCUGAAAACUCCAGCCAGUCUUCACAAAAAUUAUCCUUGCAAAACACAUCUGCCUCUCUGUAUCCAAAAACAUGUCCCUCUCCACCUCAUUUUCAGUCAGAUUCAGAAUAUGAUUUUGAAGAUAGCCAAGACUUUGUUCCAUGUUCACAGUCAACUCCAGUUAUAGGAUUCCACCAAACUAGAAUUCAUGGAAUGACAGGAGCUUUCAAAAAAUUACCUGCCUUUUAUUUGGACCUUGAUGCUAACUAUAAAAAGACAAGGAUUUCCUCUGUAAAUGAUGCACAGCAAGCCACCCCUAGCUGUCCAAAAAAUAUAAAGACACCCAGCCAGAAAUCCAGAAGCCCUACUGUAUCUAGUAUUACACAACCAGAGAUCUCCAACAACUGUCCUGUUGCUAAGUACCUUGAAACUGAUGUUGAUGAAUGGGUCCCUCCUACCACACAAAAAGUAUUUCCUUCAGAAAUGCUUGGAUUCCAGGCCGUGGGUCUAAGGAAAUGCCCUGCUGCUUAUAAUUCUCCUGAUGAAAAAGAGUUACCAAGAAAAAAACUGAAAUAUGUCAAACAAAGAACUGAUAAAUGCUUAAUUAAGAAAGAGUUAAAUUUGAAGAAUAUGCUUGCAGCAGCAGAACCAAAAACUCCUGACUAUAACAGUACAGGGUUAGGCUGGAUUUUCAAAGAGUCGGUUUUGGGACUUGGUUCCCGUUCAGAAGUCAAAUGUUGCCUUGCAUUUUCAGAAGAUUGGUCACCUUCAGUGCCUGAAACUAAAAGUGCUUGGUCUCCUGAAUUAUUCUCAUAAAAUGUCACCUGAACCCAAUUUCUGAGCUUUUAAAGGCUGUAAUUACUGCAUUCCCAAACUGUGAUCUCUUAGCCACACCCAGGAAGAAUAGUCAAGAGGCCCACGGAUGGAUCAAGAAGAGUAGUUUCAUUUGCACAAGGAAUGCCCAUUCCUCCAUCAGCAUGGGUUAAGCCCAAACCUAGAGAGCACAAUGCCACUGUCAAUUGGAAAUGAGAGGACAUUGAUUGGAAGAGCCAGCUGGCAUAGCAGAGCAGCAGUCUUAAAAGGCCUCAGAUUAGAUGGGCCUGUCCUGACACACAGUGCAGAACCUGCAGAGAGGUGAUACAUUCUGAAGUAUUUUUAGAUGAAAUUACAUGAUAUGUGGGCCUUGCUGCAAAACAAUACAGAAUGGAGAAAAUGGGAAUAUAGAAGAAACAAGAUUGAUCAUGAGUUGAUAAUUGUUGAAGGUGAGUGAUGUGUACAUGGAGGUUCAUUAUAUCAAUACUAGUCUACUAUGUUUUACCUAUGUUUGACAUUUUCUAUAAUAAAAAGUUAAAUAGUUCUCAUCACACACACAAAAACUUGUUUGUGUGUGGUGAUGGAUGUUAACUAGCAUUAUUGUGGCAAUCAUUUUGCAAUAUAUACAUGUGUCAAAUCAUUAUGUUGCACACCUGAAACUAAUACAAUGUUAUAUGUCAAUUAUAGCUCAAUUUUUAAAAAAUAUGAGUAGCUCUAUUUUUUAGUAUUUUAUUUUUAAUUUUUUAAAAAAAAUUUAUUUUUUUAAUUUAUUUUAUUUUUGGCUGUGUUGGGUCUUCAGUGCUGCGCACGGGCAUUGCGGUGAGCGGGGGAUGCUCUUCGUUGCAGUGCAUGGGGCUUCUCAAUGCAGUGGCUUCUCUUGUUGUGGAGCACGGGCUCUAGGCACGCAGGCUUCAGCAGUUGUGGCACGUGGGCUCCGUAGUUGUGGCUUGCGGGCUCUAGAGCGCAGGCUCAGUAGUUGUGGCACACGGGCUUAGUUGCUCCGCGGCGUGUGGGAUCUUCCCGGACCAGGGCUCGAACCCAUGUCCCGUGCAUUGGCAGGUGGAUUCUUAGCCACUGCGCCACCAGGGAAGCCCCAGCUCAAUUUAAAAAAAAAAAAAAAAAAGUUAAAUAAAAUAUAGCCAGAAUAGGAGCACUUCCCACAAUCUCCACACCUACUCCCAUGUCCCAGGCCACCUUCUUUCACCUGGAUUAUAGCAGUGAUCUCCUUAAAUAGUCUCCCUGGUACUGCCUUUGCCUGUUUAUAAUCUACCCUCAACAGGGCAGCAGGGUGAUCUUGUUAAAAUAUAAGUAAAGUCACUCCUCUACUCAAAACCCUCCAAAGGCUCCAGCUCACUCUAAGUCUAAAAACAAAAGUCUUUGCAAUGGACUCCAAAGUGCAAUGAUCCAUGCCACCACUCCCCUCAAACCUUUGCCCCUCACUUUUUCAUUUUGUUUUAGCCUUGUUGGCAUCCCUUUGCCUUGAGGCCUUUGUACAUUCUGUUCCCUCUGCCUAGAACACUUUUUACCAAAAUACAUACACCAUUCACUCUGUCACUUCUUUCAGGUCUACUAUUAAAUGACAUGUUAUCAAUGAGGGCCUCCCUUAACCACCUUAUAUAACAUAUCAACACUCUACCAUCACUGCUUCUCUCCUUGCCCAGGUUCAUUUUCUCCAUACUAAUUAUCACCACCUGACAUUAUU